UCCAACGUUUCUUAUUGCCAUUCAGUUUUUCGAAAUCAAUUCUAAGCGUUCGAUUGUUUAUUUUUUCUCCUUCUUUGUUGUGCCACUUUGGCAAUCACUUUGCGCGCAGCCAACUUUUCGCAAUGAAAUGCAAUACAUUCAACGAAUGAAUGAAUACGACACGCGAUCAAAUGGAGAGUAUAAAUAGGGUUUUUUCUCAUUGGUAAUCGUAUCAGUUCAAAAUGAAGAUUAUCGCUAUAUUCGUCAUUUUGUGCGUCCUUUACAUGGUUGCCGAUGUUGAGGCCCAUAAAAAACCACACAAAAAGGCCCAUCAGGUCAAAAAACCAUGUACACCGCGUGAUCCAGGGAAAUGCAAAUGCAAGUGCCGUUGUGUUACAACAAAGUCUCCACAUCAUAUCAAACUGAAGACAGCCGAUGUUGUUACCUCUACGGCUAUUACCCAUGUCAAAACUUUCUUCACACUGAAACCAUAGGCUGCUUACAUGGCUCAUACAAACUAACGGAAUGAAAUGCUGAAUCGAUUAUCUUAUCUACACUGAACACGACACGGAAUAUGCGACACAUUUACUAGCCAUUAGUAUGAUUAUGAAAAAAAAACUGCACUUUUGUGUCAGUCGUCUCCGAGGGCUCUCAGCCAUUUCCAGUCGAAAUACAUUCGUUGAAUAAAACUAUCAAUAUUUGAAGUGCAAACAUA